rnacentral:rRNA from 1 species
AGUGAACGCUGGCGGUAGGCCUAACACAUGCAAGUCGAACGGCAGCACAGUAAGAGCUUGCUCUUACGGGUGGCGAGUGGCGGACGGGUGGGGAAUACAUCGGAAUCUACUUUUUCGUGGGGGAUAACGUAGGGAAACUUACGCUAAUACCGCAUACGACCUACGGGUGAAAGCAGGGGAUCUUCGGACCUUGCGCGAUUGAAUGAGCCGAUGUCGGAUUAUCUGGUUGGCGGGGUAAAGGCCCACCAAGGCGACGAUCCGUAGCUGGUCUGAGAGGAUGAACAGGCACACUGGAACUGAGACACGGUCCAGACUCCUACGGGAGGCAGCGGUGGGGAAUAUUGGACAAUGGGCGCAAGCCUGAUCCAGCCAUACCGCGUGGGUGAAGAAGGCCUUCGGGUUGUAAAGCCCUUUUGUUGGGAAAGAAAAGCAGCAGGUUAAUACCCCGCUGUUCUGACGGUACCCAAAGAAUAAGCACCGGCUAACUUCGUG